rnacentral:rRNA from 1 species
CUGCGAACGGCUCAUUAGAGCUUAUAUAAAGUUUUCGGCUGCCUUUUAGGCUAUCUUCGACAAAUUGAAGCUAAUACAUGGAAACAUGUCCUUUUCGAAGGGCGCAAUAUUAGAACUACUGGCUUGCCGGCGGUUGAUUUCAAUUAUCGUUUCGAUAUCGGAAGGCGACUUCCGAUGGCCGUAAACUGUGUACGCCCUAUCACCCAGCAGGUUAAUCAUUCGCUAACCAGGGGUAUUACGGGUAACGGAGAACUAGGGUUCGUCUCCGGAGAAGAAGCCUUUGAAAGGCUACUACAUCCAAGGAAGGCAGCAGGCGCGUAACUUAUCCACUACCACAGUGAGAUAGUAACUAGUCUUAACUAUUGACUGAUCUUUUAGGUUAGUCAUGGUCCAUGAGUUGAGCCUAAAUAGCUCUUCGAGGACCAAGUGGAGGGCAAGUCUGGUGCCAGCAGCCGCGGUAAUUCCAGCU